AUGGCUCCUGGGGCGGGGAGCGAGGUAGGACAGGUUUUUUGGUCCUGGUGUGGAGCGGGAGGGUUGAAGAACUGUGCGAGAGGGGAAAUCACUCUUCAAGAAAUUGCACUUAUGAACUUAGACACGAGAGCAAGAAAGUGUGUGUGUCUCUCUGUGUGUGUGUGUGUGUGUGUGUGUGUGUGUGUGUGUCAGGGAGAGUCAGAAUCAGAUCUCAGACUGCAGAGACACACUGACUAAUGUGGGUUGUGUAAUAUAGUACAUCUCUAAAAGUAGUUCAAACUGCAUUGAAGAUCAAAUCUUUUUAAUUACUGUGGGUUUUAAUUUGCAGCAACUCCAUGCUGAGGUUCUUAAAGGUGCAGUAGCAACACAUUCCCUAUGGGGGUGAAACGAACCAUUGAUCCGGAUAGGCAUAGGGAUUCAAUGAUAAACGGUCAAAUGUGAUCGGUACGCAGUGAAAGCAUCUAUCCAUCCGAUCAUUUUUAAGAAUUGCAUUCAUUUUGAAAUUGCCCCUACCAUGUCCGUAUCACCUUUUCCACCCAGGCCCUUCCCCUUCAUGAAAAUUCAAACAGUGUUAAUGCAAGCAGCUGAGAAAAAGACAUGGAGGAUAUUUUACUCCCAUCUCGGAAAUACAUCAGCAGCGUCAACAGACUCACUCAGUGUCUCACUCAGUGGUCGGCUAAGCUGUUGCUCUCACUGCAGCGAUAUAAACUGCUCUGUUUCAACAAUAAUCUGAGGCUGAAAAAUGAUACACUCAUUCAACCUUGAUGUUCGGUUUGAAGAUGCAGUGACUUAAACCAGCAAUGAGUAAAGAAACGUUUAAAUAAUACUGAAUAAGCUAAAACUAGAGGAAAUGUCCACUAGACAGUAGACUAGAAUUUAUCCAUUGUAAAAUGUUCUAGGCUUGAGCUUAAAAUAGUGUCUUGUAAAAAAAAUUGUUGUUUUGUGUCAUGACAGUUGAUUAUUAGCCAUAUUUUACAGACCAAAUCACAAUGUUUGUUUCCAACCACUUUGUAGUAGAAAACCCUUGCAUCACGCAUUAGCUUGUGUCACUGUCCUUCUAAUGAUAUUUCAGUGAAUACAUUAAAUUCAUCAUCAUUCGUCUUGUGAUGAUGAUGAAAAUGAUAAUAAUAAUAAUGAUACAUUUAUUUUAUAUAGCGCUUUUCAGGUACUCAAAGACGCUUCACAGGUUAAAACAGAGGUAUAAAAACAACACACGUAAAAUAGAAAGAAAAGAAACAGAUUAUACAUUAAAAGCCAUUGGUGAUGAUGUCACAGAUUGAUUUGACGUAUCUCCAAAAUGCCAAUCAACAGCCAACUGGAAGGAACUGUUGUGGUUUCAAAGAUGUCAUAGUUACUUGGUCUGUACGUUUAAGAAAUGUUCUUGUUGUUAAGCCAUAUUGUAUUUGUGUGAGUAAAGUCAGUUUAAAGUAAGUUUUACUGCACAUGACCGCUUCUAAUAAUGUACAGAUGGCAUCGAUCGUCAGCCCCAGAAUUGCAUCUGAUCAAAAUUGUAUCCAGGUAGGCUUUGUGAGGUAGCUGAAUAUGAACACCAACAGCCGAUUAAAGCAUCUGAAUGUGACGACCUUGGAAAGUGAAAAUAAUCAACCAACAUAAUCAACUAUAUAACUUCAGAAUCGCACACUGCACCUUUAAAGCCUUCCCCACAGUGUUCUACAUUGAUCUCAAUCUUAAGUGAUUAGGUCACCUGAAACCUUGACCUUUGGAUUCAUCGUCUGGUUGGAAUUAUUCUUAUCUGACCAGCAAUGACUUCACUCUGUAUGUCACAUUGGAAAAUACCUGUAUCAACGCGUGUCUCUGAGUAUGAGAGUGAACUGAGAAUCAAUCACUGAACACUUGUGUUUUGUGUUAAUUGCAUGCUGUCAAAUUGCCACUGUAAUGUGAUUUUAAAUGAACCCCAGGUCCUGGGAGUUAAUUAAAAAACGUUAUCAGUUUCUGCAGCAAGGAGCGAUUUCAUUUUUUUUUUCUUCUAUCACUCUCCUGCAUUCACUCUUAAUUCAAUCCUGCGAGUUUAAGAUUCACAGAGAGGCUUGUUUGUCAUUUUGCCAGCCGUUUGUCAUUUUCUCCCUCAGCUCUCCUCUUCGUCUGUCUGCUAUCCUUUAUUUGUCACUUAGCGUCUCUUGAAAUCUAUAUUUUAUUGCAUCAUUUCGUGUUUUUCCGAAUGCCUUGGGUAGCAGCAGUGAUGGAAAAAUCAGCCUUCUGGUUGAGCCUCACUGUUUCACACACUAACACACACUCAGACACUGAUUACUAAACAACUCUGGGGCUGUCACCUGCAUCCUGUUGUCGUAGGUUACAAGGCAUAAUAGGUUACAGACAGGAACCGACAACCAAGAUGUGUCACUUCAUGGGUAC
ensembl:lncRNA